rnacentral:lncRNA from 1 species
AGGUAGUGAAGGUUCAGUGUAGGGCACAAUAACCAGAAUGUUAGUCCUAUUCAAUUAGGGAUUUUUGGUAUUUUCCCUGUUGCCUACACCCUGUUUCCUACAGGAAAAAGUUCUCGAGGAGUAAACAGGAAGGAAUUAACAAACUGGAAUGGAUGCAAACUGGAAGAAGUAAUAGAAAAGUCUGAGGUCAAGAAGUCAGAAGCUGGCACCCUAUUGAUCAAACUGCAACAACCACUGGAGUGAACAGCCCAGCCAUGUCUGAUAACAUGAAGAUUCUUCAAAAAAUUUCAAUGGAAGAAGAAAGAGAUGAAAAAAUAAAACCAGGCUAUUUUCUCUUCCAAUUUCUUUUUCUUCAGCUGGCACUUAAUUUAAAAAGCCUUAAAGGAUCAUAAUUAUCAAGUUGGUCAGAUUCCUAAUUUCACUGUACAUAUGAACAUGUGCCCACCCACUCGGUGACAGAUGAGACAGUGCCAUGUGGGACACACUUCCAAAUCAAAUGGGAUUAGCUAAGGUAUAAAAAAGGUCAAGAAGAGUUCCAGCACUUGUAUUGACUUCACUGCUAUUACAAUUUAUGUGAGCAAAAAGUUUAUUUCAACUUUUUCUGCCUUUCAGCCUUGCAUAUUUUAGCUGCUGUUUUUAAAGUGAAAAUGGGCCCUCUACAAUAUGAGUAUCAUCAGUACUAAUGAGGAUGUUUCAGACC